GCCGAUGUGGCGGAAUGGCAGACGCAACGGACUUAAAAUCCGUUUCUGGGAAACCGGAGUGCGGGUUCGAGUCCCGCCAUCGGCA
rnacentral:tRNA from 1 species